rnacentral:tRNA from 1 species
UGUAGCGUGGUGUGAAGCAGCAUAUUACGUUUUGGUCGUAAAGGUAGUUGGGUAUUCGCUAUAA